rnacentral:rRNA from 1 species
CCUACGGGUGGCAGCAGUGAGGAAUAUUGGUCAAUGGGCGCGAGCCUGAACCAGCCAAGUAGCGUGAAGGAUGACUGCCCUACGGGUUGUAAACUUCUUUUAUAAAGGAAUAAAGUGAGGCACGUUUGCCUUUUUGUAUGUACUUUAUGAAUAAGGAUCGGCUAACUCCGUGCCAUCAGCCGCGGUAAUACGGAGGAUCCGAGCGUUAUCCGGAUUUAUUGGGUUUAAAGGGAGCGUAGAUGGGUUGUUAAGUCAGUUGUGAAAGUUUGCGGCUCAACCGUAAAAUUGCACUUGAUACUGGCAGUCUUGAGUACAGUUGAGGUAGGCGGAAUUCGUGGUGUAGCGGUGAAAUGCUUAGAUAUCACGAAGAACUCCGAUUGCGAAGGCAGCUUACUAAACUGCCACUGACAUUGAUGCUCGAAAGUGUGGGUAUCAAACAGGAUUAGAUACCCCAGUAGUC